rnacentral:rRNA from 1 species
CGCCUAAUACAUGCAAGUCGAGCGAGAAGGUGUAGCAAUACACUUGUAAAGCGGCGAACGGGUGAGGAAUGCAUGGGUAACCUACCCUCGAGUGGGGAAUAACUAGCCGAAAGGUUAGCUAAUACCGCAUACGUUUCCGGAACUUCGGUUUCGGAAAGAAAGCAAUACCGUGGGUAUUGCGCUCCUGGAUGGGCUCAUGUCCUAUCAGCUUGUUGGUGAGGUAACGGCUCACCCAAGGGCUUCGACGGGUAGCUGGUCUGAGAGGACGAUCAGCCACACUGGCACUGCGACACGGGCCAGACUCCUACGGGAGGCAGCAGUAAGGAAUAUUGCGCAAUGGACGAAAGUCUGACGCAGCGACGCCGCGUGGGGGAUGAAGGUCUUCGGAUUGUAAACCCCUUUCGGGAGGGAAGAUGGAGUGGGUAACCACUUGGACGGUACCUCCAGAAGCAGCCACGGCUAACUUCGUG